GCGCCCGUAGCUCAGUGGAUAGAGCACCAGACUCCGGAUCUGGGAGCGCGGGUUCAACUCCUGCCGGGCGCACCA
rnacentral:tRNA from 1 species